rnacentral:rRNA from 1 species
GGUAACCUGCCUUAUAGUGGGGGAGUAGCCUUUCGAAAGGAAGAUUAAUACCGCAUAAGAUUGUAGUAUCGCAUGAUAUAGCAAUUAAAGGAGCAAUCCGCUAUAAGAUGGACCCGCGUCGCAUUAGCUAGUUGGUGAGGUAAUGGCUCACCAAGGCGACGAUGCGUAGCCGACCUGAGAGGGUGAUCGGCACAUUGGGACUGAGACACGGCCCAGACUCCUACGGGAGGCAGCAUG